rnacentral:rRNA from 1 species
UGGGGAAUAUUGGACAAUGGGGGAAACCCUGAUCCAGCCAUGCCGCGUGAGUGAUGAAGGCCCUAGGGUUGUAAAGCUCUUUCAGCGGGGAAGAUAAUGACGGUACCCGCAGAAGAAGCCCCGGCUAACUUCGUGCCAGCAGCCGCGGUAAUACGAAGGGGGCUAGCGUUGCUCGGAAUCACUGGGCGUAAAGCGCACGUAGGCGGAUCGUUAAGUCGGGGGUGAAAGCCCGGAGCUCAACUCCGGAACUGCCUUCGAUACUGGCGAUCUUGAGUCCGGGAGAGGUGAGUGGAACUGCGAGUGUAGAGGUGAAAUUCGUAGAUAUUCGCAAGAACACCAGUGGCGAAGGCGGCUCACUGGCCCGGAACUGACGCUGAGGUGCGAAAGCGUGGGGAGCAAACAGGAUUAGAUACCC